AACGCUAGCUACAGGCUUAACACAUGCAAGUCGAGGGGCAGCAUGAUUGAAGCUUGCUUCAAUUGAUGGCGACCGGCGCACGGGUGAGUAACACGUAUCCAACCUGCCGAUGACUCGGGGAUAGCCUUUCGAAAGAAAGUUUAAUACCCGAUGGCAUAGUCCUUCCGCAUGGUGGAACUAUUAAAGAAUUUCGGUCAUCGAUGGGGAUGCGUUCCAUUAGGUUGUUGGCGGGGUAACGGCCCACCAAGCCUUCGAUGGAUAGGGGUUCUGAGAGGAAGGUCCCCCACAUUGGAACUGAGACACGGUCCAAACUCCUACGGGAGGCAGCAGUGAGGAAUAUUGGUCAAUGGACGAGAGUCUGAACCAGCCAAGUAGCGUGAAGGAUGACUGCCCUAUGGGUUGUAAACUUCUUUUAUACGGGAAUAAAGUGAGGCACGUGUGCCUUUUUGUAUGUACCGUAUGAAUAAGGAUCGGCUAACUCCGUGCCAGCAGCCGCGGUAAUACGGAGGAUCCGAGCGUUAUCCGGAUUUAUUGGGUUUAAAGGGAGCGUAGGCGGACGCUUAAGUCAGUUGUGAAAGUUUGCGGCUCAACCGUAAAAUUGCAGUUGAUACUGGGUGUCUUGAGUACAGUAGAGGCAGGCGGAAUUCGUGGUGUAGCGGUGAAAUGCUUAGAUAUCACGAAGAACUCCGAUUG
rnacentral:rRNA from 1 species